AGGUAAAGGCUCACCAAGGCGACGAUCUGUAGCGGGUCUGAGAGGAUGAUCCGCCACACUGGAACUGAGACACGGUCCAGACUCCUACGGGAGGCAGCAGUGGGGAAUUUUGGACAAUGGGCGCAAGCCUGAUCCAGCCAUGCCGCGUGAGUGAAGAAGGCCUUCGGGUUGUAAAGCUCUUUCAGCCGGGAAGAAAACGCAUGGGUUAAUACCCUGUGUGGAUGACGGUACCGGAAUAAGAAGCACCGGCUAACUACGUGCCAGCAGCCGCGGUAAUACGUAGGGUGCGAGCGUUAAUCGGAAUUACUGGGCGUAAAGCGUGCGCAGGCGGUUUUGUAAGACAGGCGUGAAAUCCCCGGGCUCAACCUGGGAACUGCGUUUGUGACUGCAAGGCUAGAGUAUGGCAGAGGGGGGUGGAAUUCCACGUGUAGCAGUGAAAUGCGUAGAGAUGUGGAGGAACACCGAUGGCGAAGGCAGCCCCCUGGGCCAAUACUGACGCUCAUGCACGAAAGCGUGGGUAGCAAACAGGAUUAGAUACCCUGGUAGUCCACGCCCUAAACGAUGUCAACUAGGUGUUGGGUGGGUAAAACCAUUUAGUACCGGAGCUAACGCGUGAAGUUGACCGCCUGGGGAGUACGGCCGCAAGGUUAAAACUCAAAGGAAUUGACGGGGACCCGCACAAGCGGUGGAUGAUGUGGAUUAAUUCGAUGCAACGCGAAAAACCUUACCUACCCUUGACAUGUCCGGAAGCCCAUAGAGAUUUGGGUGUGCUCGAAAGAGAGCCGGAACACAGGUGCUGCAUGGCUGUCGUCAGCUCGUGUCGUGAGAUGUUGGGUUAAGUCCCGCAACGAGCGCAACCCUUGUCGUUAAUUGCCAUCAUUUAGUUGGGCACUUUAACGAGACUGCCGGUGACAAACCGGAGGAAGGUGGGGAUGACGUCAAGUCCUCAUGGCCCUUAUGGGUAGGGCUUCACACGUCAUACAAUGGUCGGUACAAAGGGUUGCCAACCCGCGAGGGGGAGCUAAUCCCAGAAAGCCGAUCGUAGUCCGGAUCGUAGGCUGCAACUCGCCUGCGUGAAGUCGGAAUCGCUAGUAAUCGUGGAUCAGCAUGUCACGGUGAAUACGUUCCCGGGUCUUGUACACACCGCCCGUCACACCAUGGGAGCGGGUUCCGCCAGAAGUAGGUAGCCUAACCGCAAGGAGGGCGCUUACCACGGCGGGGUUCGUGACUGGGGUGAAGUCGG
rnacentral:rRNA from 1 species